GGCAUUGCCCUCGGUGAUGUCCACGUGAGAAGAUUCCCUCAACAAUUGCCAGCCCCUACCAGAGGAUAAUGGGAAUGGAAUAGUUGGCUCCCUCCCCAAGAACCCAUUCAUCUCCUAGAUAUUUCUCUAAGAAGGGCUGGAAAGCUACCUUAGGAGAGGUAAAAGACAACUCUCUAGAAAGAUCCAAGACCUUUCUGUAGAGCACAAAGAUGUCAAAGCCCCCAAAUAAUCAUCAUUGCAGC
rnacentral:lncRNA from 1 species